rnacentral:rRNA from 1 species
UACAGAGGUCCCGAGCGUUAGGCGGAAUCACUGGGCUUAAAGCGUGUGUAGGUGGAUCGUUAAGUACCUUGUGAAAUCCCACGGCUUAACCGUGGAACUGCUUGGUAUACUGGCGGUCUUGAGCCAGCUAGGGGCUACCGGAACAAAUGGUGGAGCGGUGAAAUGCGUAGAUAUCAUUUGGAACGCCAAUGGUGAAAACAGGUAGCUGGGGCUGUGCUGACACUGAGAACACGGAAAGCCAGGGGAGCAAACGGG